UACGAAGGUCCCAAGCGUUAUCCGGAUUUAUUGGGUUUAAAGGGUGCGUAGGCGGCUUAUUAAGUCAGUGGUGAAAGCCCCAAGCUUAACUUGGGAAUUGCCAUUGAUACUGAUGAGCUUGAGUAGAUUUGAGGCGGGCGGAAUGUGUCGUGUAGCGGUGAAAUGCUUAGAUAUGACACAGAACACCAAUUGCGUAGGCAGCUCGCUAAACUCUUACUGACGCUGAGGCACGAAAGCAUGGGGAUCAAACAGG
rnacentral:rRNA from 2 species